rnacentral:rRNA from 1 species
UAGGGAAUCUUCGGCAAUGGGGGGAACCCUGACCGAGCAACGCCGCGUGAGUGAAGAAGGUUUUCGGAUCGUAAAGCUCUGUUGUUAAGGAAGAACGAGUGUGAGAAUGGAAAGUUCAUACUGUGACGGUACUUAACCAGAAAGGGACGGCUAACUACGUGCCAGCAGCCGCGGUAAUACGUAGGUCCCGAGCGUUGUACGGAUUUAUUGGGCGUAAAGCGAGCGCAGGCGGUGAGAUAAGUCUGAAGUUAAAGGCAGUGGCUCAACCAUUGUAGGCUUUGGAAACAGUUUAACUUUAGUGCGGAAGGGGAGAGUGGAAUUCCAUGUGUAGCGGUAAAAGGCGUAGAUAUAUGGAGGAACACCGGUGGCGAAAGCGGCUCUCUGGUCUGUAACUGACGCUGAGGCUCGAAAGCGUGGGGAGCGAACAGG